ensembl:snRNA U6 U6 spliceosomal RNA
GAGCUCGCUGUGGCAGCACGUGUACUGAAAUUGGAGCGAUACAGAGAAGAUUAGCGUGGCCCCUGUGCAAGGACGACACAGAAAUUCGUGAAGUGUUCCACAUUUAA